CUCAGUUCGGAUUGUAGUCUGCAACUCGACUACAUGAAGCUGGAAUCGCUAGUAAUCGCAGAUCAGAAUGCUGCGGUGAAUACGUUCCCGGGUCUUGUACACACCGCCCGUCACACCAUGGGAGUCGGAAAUGCCCGAAGCCGGUGACCAAACCAAUAAGGAAGGAGCCGUCGAAGGCAGGUCUGAUAACUGGGGUGAAGUCGUAACAAGGUACC
rnacentral:rRNA from 1 species